rfam:Triticum aestivum genome assembly, contig: Triticum_aestivum_CS42_TGACv1_scaffold_030995_1BL
AUCAUACUUCCCCCGUCCGAAAAUACUUGUCAUCAAAAUAAAUAAAAAAUGAUAUAUUUAAAACUGAAAUACGUCUUGAUACAUCUCCUUUUAUCCAUUUUGAUGACAAGUAUUUCCGGGCGGAGGGAAUACGUA